AGGUGCCUAAACAGAGUGGCAUGUGAACCAUUCGAAACGAGGAUUCUGAACGGAGAAAAGUAUCCAUCAGCAGGCGAGCAGGAACAAUUGGCCAAUGACUUGGUACAAUUAUUUCCACAGUUGCAGUUUAAUUCCAAAAGACCUGAAGGAGCACCAGAUGGGUGGAUCUUUUUUUGGAGAAAAAACGGAAUGGAGAAAGGCAAGCACAGUGGUCUGAUAUAUCACCGUGUGCGCAACAUAAUUAAAACGCUUCCGCCAAAAAUGCAUCUAUACCAAAGGACAACUGUACCGAAAAAUACUCAUGUUCCUAAUGAACUGGUCGAAAAAGCCGAGAAUCUACGUACGGUGGAAGCAACCAAAAACGAGAAAAAAAGGAUUGCGGUCGAAAUGGAAGCAUGCAACCCGUUACUCAAAUUGAUGCUGAGCGAA